UGGCGGACGGGUGAGUAACGCGUGGAUAACCUGCCGUAUACUGGGGGAUAACACUUAGAAAUAGGUGCUAAUACCGCAUAAGCGCACAGUCUCGCAUGAGACGGUGUGAAAAACUCCGGUGGUAUACGAUGGAUCCGCGUCUGAUUAGCUUGUUGGCGGGGUAACAGCCCACCAAGGCGACGAUCAGUAGCCGGCCUGAGAGGGUGAACGGCCACAUUGGGACGGAGACACGGCCCAAACUCCUACGGAAGGCAGCAG
rnacentral:rRNA from 1 species